rnacentral:rRNA from 1 species
CCUACGGGGGGCUGCAGUGAGGAAUAUUGGUCAAUGGCCGUAAGGCUGAACCAGCCAAGUCGCGUGAAGGAAGAAGGAUCUAUGGUUUGUAAACUUCUUUUAUAGGGGAAUAAAGGUAUCCACGUGUGGAUAUUUGCAUGUACCCUAUGAAUAAGCAUCGGCUAACUCCGUGCCAGCAGCCGCGGUAAUACGGAGGAUGCGAGCGUUAUCCGGAUUUAUUGGGUUUUAAGGGUGCGUAGGUUGUUUUUUAAGUCAGCGGUGAAAGUUUGUGGCUCAACCAUAAAAUUGCCGUUGAAACUGCCUUGCUGGAAUGCGGAUGCCGUGGGAGGAAUGUGUGGUGUAGCGGUGAAAUGCAUAGAUAUCACACAGAACACCGAUUGCGAAGGCAUCUCACGAAUCCGCGAUUGACGCUGAUGCACGAAAGCGUGGGUAUCAAACAGGAUUAGAUACCCGAGUAGUC